rnacentral:tRNA from 2 species
GGCCCCGUGGCGGAGUGGAGACGCAAGGGGAGUGAAUUCCCCACAGCUUGGUUCGAAUCCAGGCGAGGCCUCCA